rnacentral:lncRNA from 1 species
CGCAGACAUGAGGGCGAGGCUAAAACAGUAAGGUCAAGUUGUUUCGACAGAAAGCCUACAGGGUGCGGUCCUGGCUCUUGUGUAAGAAUUCUGACUGCACUAACCAUGCCUAGGAAGGAAAGGAGUUGUUGUUUUGUAAAGGAUUGAGGUUUGGAAGAUUAAUCGGACACGGUCAGCAGGGAGAGCACUUGUGUUUUUAUGAGAAUUAUGCCGAGAUAGGUAACAGAUGAGGAUGAAAUUUGGGCUUGACUGAAGUAAUGGGGGCUGUCUGUGAAGCCCUGUGGCAGUACAGCCCAGGUAAUUUGCUGAGCCUAAUGGGUGUCAGGGUCAGUCUAAGUGAAAGCAAAGAGAGGCUUGGAUGAAGGGUGCAAAGGAAUAGUAAAGAAAGCAUGUGUGAGACCCAGAACAAAAUAAUGGGUAGUAGAGUGAGGUAUUGAGGAUAGGAGAGUAUAUGGGUUUGGCACCACGGGGUGGAUAGGCAAAACAAUUUGGUUGAUAAGGCUAAGAUUCUGAACUAACUCGUAAGCCUUGUCCAGUUUUAGGACAGGUAAAAUAGGGGAAUGGUAAGGAGAGUUCAUAGGCUUUAAAAGGCCAUGCUGUAGCAGGCGAGUGAUAACAGGCUUUAAUCAUUUUAAAGAGUGCUGUGGGAUGGGAUCUUGGCAUUGAGCGGGGUAAGGGGGAUUAGGUUUUAAUGAGAUAGUAAGGGGUGCAUGAUCGGUCGCCAAGGAGGGAGGAGAGGUAUCUUAUACUUGUGGGUUAAGGUGGGGGGAUUCAAGAGGAGAAUACAAAGGAGGCUUUGGAUUGGGAAAAAGGGUGGCAAUGAGAUGCAGCUGUAGUCCAGGAAUAGUCAGGGAAGCAGAUACUUUAGUUAAAGUGUCUCAUCCUAAUAAGGGAACUGGGCAGGUGGGGAUAACUAAAAAGGAGUGCUUAAAAGAGUAUUGUCUAAGUUGGCACCAGAGUUGGGGAGUUUUAAGAGGUUUAGAAGCCUGGCCGUCAAUACCCACAACAGUUAUGGAGGCAAGGGAAACAGGCCCUUGAAAAGAAGGUAAUGUGGAGUGGGUAGCCUCCGUAUUGAUUAAGAAGGGGACGGACUUACCCUCCACUCUGAGAGUUACCCGAAGCUCGGCAUCUGUAAUUGUCUACAGGGCUUCCAAGGCGAUCGGGCAGCGUCAGUCUUCAGCCGCUAAGCUGAGAAGAUCUGGGAAGGAGUCAGAGAGCCUUGGGCCAGAGUUCCAGGGGCUUUGGAAGUGGCUACCAGAGAAGGAGCCAUGAUGAAAGAUGGCUUUGACCCAUUUGAAGACUUUCAGCCAGAAAAUGUGCUUUGUACUAGGAGCUGGAGGAACGGCAUUGCCACCACACCAUACCCCUUCUUGAUGGAAUAGCCACAGCCAGAAACCUCCCUCUGUCCCUUCCCACAUGCCUUGAAGGCCGUGUGUUGGGACUGGUGGUUCCCCAAGAUGGAAGGAGCCAGAUCUUUGAACAACUGUGUAUAGCAGAGCCUGCCCCAAUCUCCAACCACAUAAGCCCAGGAAGGAAAGGCACUUUGCGUGGGGAUCCGGAAGUCUCUGGGGUAAAAGAACCCCAUGGGGGUGGAGUUCAUUGCGUUGCGGCUCUUUACCCCUCUCAUGGGGUAAAAUCCAUCACCUCAAGCCAUGGAGCCAGUGUGUCGGGGACUCCCGUCUUAGCCAAAGCAGCAGGAGGGGCAGUGGGCAGCCAGGACACAGCAGCCCCCCUCGGGGACCAAAGGGUGGACCUGAUGUGAAGCUGGUGGGCCACCGUUCUGCAGGAGCAGCGGAGCCUAAUGGAUCCCAGAGUCUGAGUGUUCUGUUCACGAUUCCCCUUGCUCUGUGCUUCAACAG